GUUAAAGGGGAAGAUCAAAUUCAUUGGCUCUGGUUCAAGAAGACUAGCUUUCUUUCUUCGUAAUUCUACUGAAGGGGACCUUCGGAAGGAAAGCGUAUUUUGAAACGACACUCCCUUUUCGAAUAAUCAGAGGCAGGGGAAGACCUGUCUUGCCAAAUACUACGUUCCUCUCGAGGCUUCCGAGAAGCAUAUGGUCGAAUACGAGUGCCUGCAGACGAUCAUUGAGAGAAUGGAGGAACUGGAAAAACUAGAGUGAAACAUUAUCUUACGGCAGAAUGUCAUAGCUGUUUGGGG